rnacentral:rRNA from 1 species
CCUACGGGAGGCAGCAGUGGGGAAUAUUGCACAAUGGGGGAAACCCUGAUGCAGCGACGCCGCGUGAGUGAAGAAGUAUUUCGGUAUGUAAAGCUCUAUCAGCAGGGAAGAAGAAAGCCGGUACCUGACUAAGACGCCCCGGCUAACUACGUGCCAGCAGCCGCGGUACUACGUAGGGGGCAAGCGUUAUCCGGAUUUACUGGGUGUAAAGGGAGCGUAGACGGCUGUGCAAGUCUGAAGUGAAAGCCCAGGGCUCAACCCUGGGACUGCUUUGGAAACUGUGGAGCUAGAGUGCUGGAGAGGUAAGUGGAAUUCCUAGUGUAGCGGUGAAAUGCGUAGAUAUUAGGAGGAACACCAGUGGCGAAGGCGGCUUACUGGACAGUAACUGACGUUGAGGCUCGAAAGCGUGGGGAGCAAACAGGAUUAGAUACCCGAGUAGUC